rnacentral:rRNA from 1 species
UACGUAGGGUGCGAGCGUUAAUCGGAAUUACUGGGCGUAAAGCGUGCGCAGGCGGUUCGUUGUGUCGGCGGUGAAAGCCCUGGGCUUAACCUAGGAAUUGCGCUUGAGACUGGAUAGCUUGGAGUGCGGCAGAGGGAGGUGGAAUUCCACGUGUAGCAGUGAAAUGCGUAGAGAUGUGGAGGAACACCGAUGGCGAAGGCAGCCUCCUGGGCCAGCACUGACGCUCAUGCACGAAAGCGUGGGGAGCAAACAGG